UACAGAGGGGGCAAGCGUUGUUCGGAAUUACUGGGCGUAAAGGGCGCGUAGGCGGCCUGUUAAGUCGAACGUGAAAUCCCCGGGCUCAACCCGGGAACUGCGUCCGAUACUGGCAGGCUUGAAUUCGGGAGAGGGAUGUGGAAUUCCAGGUGUAGCGGUGAAAUGCGUAGAUAUCUGGAGGAACACCGGUGGCGAAGGCGGCAUCCUGGACCGAUACUGACGCUGAUGCGCGAAAGCCAGGGGAGCAAACGGG
rnacentral:rRNA from 1 species